rnacentral:rRNA from 1 species
UACGGAGGCUCCAAGCGUUGUCCGGAUUUACUGGGUUUAAAGGGUGCGUAGGUGGACUUUUAAGUCAGUGGUGAAAGCCUGUAGCUUAACUAUAGAAUUGCCAUUGAAACUGAAAGUCUUGAGUACAGUUGAGGUGAGCGGAAUGUAUCAUGUAGCGGUGAAAUGCUUAGAUAUGAUACAGAACACCGAUUGCGAAGGCAGCUCACUAAACUGCAACU